rnacentral:rRNA from 1 species
AUGGAAGUUGUAAUCCGCUAAGGAGUGUGUAACAACUCACCUGCCGAAUCAAUUGGCCCUGAAAAUGGAUGGCGCUAUAGCGAGRAACUUACACUUAACUGGUGUAUGUAGUAUAUUCAUAUACCAUGUAAGAAGGCGUAACGAUAUGCUUUGAAGGUAUAAGAUGUGAAUCUAACUGGAGCUAUCGUUAGUGCAGAUCUUGGUGAUAGUAGCAAAGAUUCAAGUGAGAAACUUGAAGGCCGAAGUGAAAACGGUUUUCGCGUGAACAGUAUUUGAACGCGAGUUAGUCGGUCCUAAGUCUAUACCUAAAGGUGUUAAUUAUGAGAUAUAUGUUUUAUUAUAUAUCUCUUAGACGAAAGGGAAACAGGUUAAUAUUCCUGUACUUGAAUCAUACGGUGCAGAUUGUUUAUACAAUUUGUAAGGGGCGGUAACGUAUAUGAAACCAUAAAUAUCAUAUAUGGUUCAGGCUAGAGAUAUCUUCUCUAGUUAAUAUAGUUUGUCCAUGGAAUAGGUUCUGCCUGAGAUAUGGAUAAAGYUAUUAAAAAGUAUCGCAGUUUUUGUGAUAUCCUGAGUGCUAURUAUGAUCCGUGAAAAUAUGGUGAAUCCCUUAUAAUGUAUGAUAAAGCCGUACCGAAACCGCAUCAGGUUUUCAAGGUGUAUAGCCUCUGGUCGAUAGAAUAAUGUAGGUAAGGGAAGUCGGCAAAUUAGAUCCGUAACUUUGGGAAAAGAAUUGGCUCUACGGAUUGAGUAAUAGGAGUAUAUAGAAAAAGCUUAUAUUUAUAAUAAGAUCUGAGGRAUCGUAAGUGAACUUGGGUUAAUGUUAUAGAUAUUUGUUGACGCUAUAUACUAUAUUGUUAACGCAAUGUCCUAUUACAAUGAACAAUUAACGUAGAACUGACACGGACUCGGGGAAUCCGACUGUCUAAUUAAAACAGAGCUGAUAGAAAGUGUUUGUACACAUUGACUAUCUGUGAUUUCUGCCCAGUGCUCUGAAUGUUAAUAUAAGGAAACUUGCGUAAGCGCGGGUAAACGGCGGGAGUAACUAUGACUCUCUUAAGGUAGCCAAAUGCCUCGUCAUCUAAUUAGUGACGCGCACGAAUGGAUUAACGAGAUUCCCACUGUCCCUAUCUACUAUCUAGCGAAAUCACAGCCAAGGGAACGGGCUUGGUAAAUACUGCGGGGAAAGAAGACCCUAUUGAGUUUGACUCUAGUCUGGCUUUGUGAGGAAUCACAAGAGGUGUAGUAUAGGAGGGAGCGUAAGCAUCAGUGAAAUACCUCCACUUUUGUCGAUUCUUUACUUAGUUGGUUAAGUGAGAUAUCAUUUAUUUGAUUAUUUAUGUAUUAAAGUAUAUCUUUUUUAAGAUGUAUGACUCUCGCCAAUAACAGUGCCAGGCGGGGAGUUUGACUGGGGCGGUAUAACUGUCAAAUCGUAACGCAGUUGUCCUAAAGCUUACUCAGAAAGGACAGAAACCUUUUGUAGACAAAAAGGUGAAAAGUAUGCUUGAUCUUGAUUCUCAGUACGAAUACAGACCGAAAAAUCGUGGCCUAUCGAUCCUUUUGGAUAUAAAGUUUAUACUAAGAGGUGUCAGAAAAAUUACCAUAGGGAUAACUGGCUUGUGGCAGCCAAGCGUCCAUA